ensembl:lncRNA
CUGAAGUGAGAUAACAUUUAGGAACCUCCCAGGGUAUUAAGGCUGCACUUUUCUUUGGAGUCUCGUGCUGCUCAGGCUCAUGGCAGUGCUCCCUUUGAACUCUCUGUGGUUUGUAGUUCUCACCACUUGCUCAAAAUGAAGCAGAAUGCAACGGUUCAUAUAAUAUUAUGUCUCAGGAAGAGUGUAUGUAACAGUACCCGUGCUGAUAUGAGCCAGUUGACGCUUGGACAUCACAGACCUCUGUAUGGUGCUCCCAGAGGUCUGACAUGUAUUUUGCUAAAUCCUUCCAUCAAUAAAACCCAUGCUGCCUGCUUCUAGAUGGGUGAGAGGAGAAUGAUGGCAAAAGAAUUUGGUAUAUCCUUGCUCCCACCUUCCUGUUCUUGAAAGCACAGGACAUCUGUGGGAGAAAUAUCUCUGGAAGCCUUGAUGGAGAGUACCAACCAGUCUUCAUGUGAAGACACUCUGCGUUCCUCAGCACUUACCCGUGAUCUGCAUCCUUGACUAAUCAUCUCCUUGCGGAGAUGCCAGUGGAAGUGAUUGAGACAAAGGGGCGUAGCAUCAUCUUGAUGCUGAAGAGCUUUCAGAGGAGGUAAGGACAGGAUAUAUUAUGGAGCUAAAUUCUCACGGGCAAAUAAUAAGUCCUAGCACCUGCUGGCUGGAACCCACAGGCUGUGACCUUCUGUCUCCACCAAUGUUUGUAUUUUCCUCUGCGGGAAAGAGCAACAUGGUAAAGAAUUCCUAUUAUUUCAAAUAUUUCACCAUGGUGUUAUCUAGCCUAGUCUAAACAAUGGUCCCGAUUGCUCUUGAGAGUUGUACUCUGCAGGAGAAAACGGUAACAAAUGUUAUUCCCAGUGUGUUCCCCCCCACCACGGGGACACAGAUAUUUGUGACAUGGAAUGGCAGUGUGCUCCUGGAAGCAUCAAUCCAGAUACAUGUUAGCUGAAAAAAGAGGAAAAAAUUGCCUCCCUUGCCAAAUUCCAAACUGAUCCACCCAGAAGAAGAUCCAUGCUGUGAUGCUUCUGUCCUGGACGUGCCAUUUGUUAAUGCAGGAAGUGGAUCACAUCCCAGGCUCUGGGAAUGUGCAGAAUGUGUCACUUGCCCCAUUGCCUUACAAACGAUAAAUCUCUAAAACCUCACUAAAAGCUGUAAUACUGCAAAAGCUGCAGCCAUGGCAAUUAUUUGCCUUCAUGUUCACUGACCCACUGAAGGAACCAGGCUGUGAACACCCUGACUCUAGUGGGAAAUGCCUGGACAGCCAGACCUGACCCAAAUGUCCAAACACAGCCAAACUUCAGCCUGAAUACACAUAACACAGUUAAUCCCGACUUAAUUUAUGGCAGCCUGAACCUGAAUGUGAACUCACCCACUGUGUUACCAGAGAUCCGAACCUGGAUUUGGCUCCCAAAUAGCUUGGGUCUAGGUCUUGAAAUUACCCAGUUGUUGGCUGCAGUCUGCUUUGGAGCUGGAGAUUUAUUUCUCCAGGAGGCAGGAAAACACAUUGUGUUGCCAAACUACUUCCAGUCUUUUCCAGAAUUACAAGUCAGGGGAUGGUGGGUAAGUCUUGUGAUUUUCAUCCUACAAUCUAAACCAGAUGGACUACUCUCGCAGCAUAAAUAUUUAAGCAAAGAAAAGCAAAAAAAAAAAAAAAAAAAAAAAAGUUCAGUUUCUUAAUUAAUUGCAUUAUUAUGACUUGCACUAUUUAACAGAAUGCGCAUAAAGCUGGUUUACAAGAUAGCUUGAUCACCUUCUUUGAUUCAUCUCAAUAAAAUCUGGAGUUUUUGUUUUCUCGGGGAUAAUGAAGUAACUGUAGAAUAAUAAAGUGGCUCUGCUUAUUGGAAACAGAAAGCUCUCAGCUUUCGGAAGAAAAGAUCCUCUCGGUGAAGCUCGUGCUGUAUUAAUCCAAAAAUACAAAUAAGUGGAGGUGAUCUGGAAAGCCCGUGUUACGAACAUCAGCCCAGCAUUUCUGCCACUGAAGAUCCUCUUCUCCGGCCUCAACUCAAAAAAUCUUUGUGGCAGAUUUGGCAUUGCCUGUAAUAAUUUAUGAACGUGAUGUGUUGACAUGUUUACUGUGUGCAUACAUUGAGCUACUUCAAUCGCUGCCUUGUCAGGAAGUGUACCCAGGAGAGAACAGAUGAAUCCAGGCACGCGGUUUGGAGGAAACACUGGGGAGCUGAAGCAAGCGCCCUUUGCUGUGACAUUUUGGCUGGGCCCCUGCUGGGCUCACAGGAGAGAUUUCCCUGGGAGAACAUGGGUGCCUGUGAAGGAAGGCACAGAAGGCCCUGGGGGAUUCACAGUGAACCAUUUAAAUGGAGGCUUUGGAGAGUGAGAACCCGAAAGGGGCUGAAAGCGCUCAGAUCUGCAGGUACCUAAUUCAGUACAUGUUGGCGAUAAAGGGGAUGUGGAACAUUUGUUUAACCGCCGUGCCUUAUUUCAGUGGUGAAAUGGCUCUUCUGUUUUAUAAACAUGGUUUAGGUUGCACAAGAGAGCUGGAUGCCUCUGUUCCCAGGUCCAUUUGGGAAUCAUGGUGAUUGUGCUGGGUAGGCUGGCUGGAGUUUGGCAAAGCUACCUCAGCCUGCCUGCAGGAAGGUGAGAGCUUGAGGCCUGGCGGCCUUCCCCAGACGGGAAGGCAGAAAGGCCACUGAUAGCUGAGAUCCAGCAGUAACCAUAACAAUACCAUCAUCUUUCUUAAAAGUCCCAGCACGUAAUUCUACUAAUGACUUUUAUUAAACAUUUAAGCCUUAGCCUUCAAGUGAUUCAUAUUUGUUACAAAACACCAUCCCAUUAACACAAAGUACAAGCCGAAACAAAGUUAAUGAGCCCUAAUGCUUGCCGGAUAAUACGAAGUUUGAGUGAUACUAACAAAAAUAAAAUUAGGAAGAAAUCUACUUUCAUUGUCCA